UACGGAGGGUGCGAGCGUUAAUCGGAAUGACUGGGCGUAAAGGGCACGCAGGCGGAUUGUUAAGUGAGAUGUGAAAGCCCCGAGCUCAACUUGGGAAUUGCAUUUCAGACUGGCAGUCUAGAGUAUUUUAGGGAGGGGUAGAAUUCCACGUGUAGCGGUGAAAUGCGUAGAGAUGUGGAGGAAUACCGAAGGCGAAGGCAGCCCCUUGGGAAUAUACUGACGCUCAUGUGCGAAAGCGUGGGGAG
rnacentral:rRNA from 1 species